rnacentral:rRNA from 1 species
AGAGAGAGACAUGCGCGCAUAUCAAUAAGCGGAGGAAAAGAAACUAACUAGGAUUCCCUCAGUAACGGCGAGUGAAGCGGGAAGAGCUCAAAUUUGAAAUCUUCAAGGUUCUACCUUGACGAAUUGUAGUUUAAAGAAGUGUUUUCUGUUGGAGUUUUGGUAAAAGUUCUUUGGAAUAGGACAUCAUGGAGGGUGAGAAUCCCGUAUUUGACCAUUAUUUCCAGCUUUGUGAUACACUUUCAAAGAGUCGGAUUGUUUGGGAAUGCAGUCCAAAAUGGGUGGUAAAUUUCAUCUAAAGCUAAAUAUUGGCGAGAGACCGUUAGCGAACAAGUACCGUGAGGGAAAGAUGAAAAGAACUUUGAAAAGAGAGUUAAACAGUACGUGAAAUUGUCAAAAGGGAAGCGUUUGACACCAGUGUUGUUUUUCUGAAAAUCAAUUAAAGAACUGUUUAUGCUAAGCUGUUUAGACUUUAUCAGCUAUCUGUUUAGUUUUGAGCUUUUCUUUAAUGCACUUUUCAGUUAACAAGUCAACAUCAAUUUCUUUUGCUGUAAAAAAGCUUGAGGAAGGUGGCUUGAGAUUCGUCUUAAGUGUUUAUAGCCUCUUGCCUAUGCAGUCGGAGAGAUUGAGGUCUGCAGCGUAGAUCCUUCGGGGCUAAAUGCAUUUGUGCUAAGUUAUAGCAUUUUAUAGACAACUUGUUGACUAUGGUUUGUCUUGUAGCUUACUCGCUUAUGUUAUUUUACCUACGCUUAGGAUGUUGAUGUGAUACUGCGAGCA